rnacentral:rRNA from 1 species
UACGUAGGGACCGAGCGUUGUCCGGAAUCAUUGGGCGUAAAGAGCGUGUAGGCGGCCCCUUAAGUCCUGCGUGAAAUCCUGCGGCUCAACCGCAGACGGUCGUGGGAAACUGGAGGGCUAGAGUGCGGGAGAGGAGAGUGGAAUUCCCGGUGUAGCGGUGAAAUGCGCAGAUAUCGGGAAGAACACCCGUGGCGAAGGCGGCUCUCUGGAACGCAACUGACGCUGAAACACGAAAGCGUGGGUAGCAAACAGG